rnacentral:rRNA from 1 species
AUUCCUACGGGAGGCAGCAGUGGGGAAUCUUGCGCAAUGGUCGAAAGACUGACGCAGCGACGCCGCGUGCGGGAGGAAGCCCUUCGGGGUGUAAACCGCUGUUACUCGGGACGAAUAUCCCGAUUUGUCGGGAUUGACGGUACCGGGGGAGGAAGCACCGGCUAACUCUGUGCCAGCAGCCGCGGUAAUACAGAGGGUGCGAGCGUUGUCCGGAAUCACUGGGCGUAAAGGGCGCGUAGGCGGCUUUUCACGCGUGCGGUGAAAGCUCGGGGCUUAACUCCGAGUCUGCCGUGCGAACGGGGAGGCUUGAGUCUGGUAGAGGUCGAUGGAAUUCCGGGUGUAGCGGUGGAAUGCGUAGAGAUCCGGAAGAACACCGGUGGCGAAGGCGGUCGACUGGGCCAGUACUGACGCUGAGGCGCGACAGCGUGGGGAGCAAACAGGAUUAGAUACCCUGGUAGUCCACGCCGUAAACGAUGUCGACUAGUUGUCGGAGGGUAACUCCUUCGGUAACGCAGCUAACGCGUGAAGUCGACCGCCUGGGGAGUACGGUCGCAAGAUUAAAACUCAAAGGAAUUGACGGGGACCCGCACAAGCGGUGGAUGAUGUGGAUUAAUUCGAUGCAACGCGAAAAACCUUACCUACCCUUGACAUGUCAGGAAGUCGCCAGAGAUGGCUUCGUGCUCGAAAGAGAACCUGAACACAGGUGCUGCAUGGCUGUCGUCAGCUCGCGUCGUGAGAUGUUGGGUUAAGUCCCGCAACGAGCGCAACCCUUAUCCUUAGUUGCCAGCGAGUAAUGUCGGGAACUCUAAGGAAACUGCCGGUGAUAAACCGGAGGAAGGUGAGGAUGACGUCAAGUCCUCAUGGCCUUUAUGCCCAGGGCUACACACGUGCUACAAUGGCCGGUACAAAGAGUUGCAAGCCCGCGAGGGGGAGCCAAUCUCAAAAAGCCGGUCUCAGUUCAGAUUGUAGGCUGCAACUCGCCUACAUGAAGGCGGAAUCGCUAGUAAUCCCGGAUCAGCAUGCCGGGGUGAAUACGUUCCCGGGCCUUGUACACACCGC